rnacentral:rRNA from 1 species
UACGUAGGGUGCAAGCGUUGUCCGGAAUUAUUGGGGCGUAAAGAGCUCGUAGGCGGUCUGUCGCGUCGGCUGUGAAAACCCGGGGCUCAACCCCGGGCCUGCAGUCGAUACGGGCAGACUAGAGUGCGGUAGGGGAGACUGGAAUUCCUGGUGUAGCGGUGAAAUGCGCAGAUAUCAGGAGGAACACCGGUGGCGAAGGCGGCUCGCUGGGCCCUCUCUGACGCUGAGGCGCGAAAGCCAGGGGAGCGAACGGG